rnacentral:misc_RNA from 1 species
GACUCAAAUUCUUCUUGAGUCCAGCCAUCAUCAUCCUCAUUGUUAAAAUCUCCUUCAAGCACAACAACAUCUAACUUAACCAAGGACUCGGGACCUGAUGUUACAACAUGGUUUGUAUUUCCAUCAAUCAAGACAAUAUGUAUUGCGGAACCCUGCUCUCCUUCUACUUUUCCUCCAGUGAAGAGAGGUAGUGACAGUUUGGACCGAAACUGAAGCUGCAAAUUUCUCCCAUCAGGUCCUUCAAUUCUUUUUGGCGAAACCCUUGCAUUAAGUUUAGCAGGUCCAAGUUUAGCCAAAGCACGCUCCACUUCUUCACUA